CACGCACACUGAUGCUUCAUGGAAAUCUGAGCAUAAAGCAGCAGUUUGAUAGAGCGCUCUCUGUUUGGUUGCAUUUCUUCAGAAUGGAUUGUUGUUACCAGCAGUGUGCCAAAAGAUUGAUUCAGAAUCAUCAUAAUGUCCUAAUAUUCAUUUUAAAAAUAAACCAGACCGCCUCUCUGUCGGCUUCCAUCUUGUAACUAAGCGGGAGUUCUGGCGUUGCCAUGGAGACGGUGCGCGCGGCAGAAAGAAACAAAGGGGAAGCAGCAGAAACUCAAGCGGCUGUCUUCGUUGAAGGAAAAUAUUUGAGUUGUUUUUGGUUUUUACCUGAAUUUCUGGGAGGAAAACCGAGCUGGACAUGAGCUGCUGGACAUGAGCUGCUGGACAUGAGCUUCACCGAGUUCAAAGUUCACCAAAUGUAGACGGAGAACGUCAGGAACAAACGGAGCUAGUUAAGCUACAGCGGAGCCAAGCUACAGUUCCCUCCGGCACAGAGCUCCGAGAGUGACCCUAUAAUGCGCCGUCGUAGAUUUCAGACCCGCCAUCAAAGCUGCAGAGAAAUAUUUUACACUGGAGCCCAAAACUCGACGGCCAUGAAGGCGAGAGGAGGAACGACGGCAGCAGCGAAUAAAAUCAAAUGUUUGGUAAAACGUUGAUGAGAGCUGCAGCACGGAGCGAUUCAACAGGCCCAACAGUCUGUGUGUGUGUGUGUGUGUGUGUGUGUGAUGCAUCGGCAGCUGGCCGGUCUUGCCUGAAGCAUCAGCAGAUGCAGAUAAACUCGUUAGCAGGACUGAAAUGACACAAUGCAGAACGUGAGAGAAAGAGGCUGCAGUGCGGAUGCAGCGACUGCGCAGCCUCAAAGGUCAGAGGUCACCUAGCUGCUGUGACCCGCCUGGAGUCGGCCCUUUUCCUCUUCAGACGGACUCAUGAUGAUCCUGUUUGAUCUGCCUGCGGAUCUCAGGCAACAUGUUUGAAAAAUGAACAAAGAUUUCCAAAAACAUCCCUAUGGAUAUCUGCACUCGGGGUCAAAGGUCGCGUUAGAGAUUUUCCAUCUUUGACCAUUAAAAAAAAAAAAAACACAGAAAAAUCUGAAGGCGCUGUUUAAUUUUGACAGAUUGCUUUUCACACCCCUCACCACGCAGAGUUCAGGUCACUAAAUAAGAAACCAAGUUUCGCUUCACAGCCUCGUCUCUGACGUGGAAACGGCUGAAUGACCUGGCGAUGGGCGGGCGGGCGGGCGCCGCAGCCAGGAGUUAAUAUGGCGGCUUUGGAGCUGAACCUCUGCUGUAGGAAGCAAAGGCUGACCAGGAAACGCCUCGUUUACCAGAAACGUUCCCCGUUUUCAAAACUUUGGCUGAAGUGGUGCUGGUAAUUUCAGAGCAGCAUCAAAACCACAAAACAGUCCACAACCUCUGCAGAAAUCCCGCUGCUCAGUCCGGUGACUCGCGUCGAUUUGGACCGGGACGGAGACGAUGCCGCAGGUGAACCACUCCGUUUAAAUGUUUAUAUCAGUUAUUAUUGGAUUCUAGGGCUUUUAUUGUGGAGAGAAAGUUGGACGCUUUCAUCUGGUUUAGACUGAAUAUUAAUUCAGCUCAAUGAAAAUGAAAUGCAGUUUAUUAUUUUAAAUGGCAGAAGUAGAUGUCACCUGUGCGUCAGAUUUAUGGGCGUACCAGAAACACGCAAAUACAAAGGUUCCACCACUCUCUGUUAAAACAAUGUGUUUAAAUCUGUUUGUGUAUUAAAGUCUGUAAUUAAUGGAAAUGACCAAGAUGGCCGUCUGCUCCUGGAGAAUCCUUGGGAUGUUCUGGAGAAAUUUUGAUGAAGGGGCAGAACCCUCCAAUCGGUUCUAGAUGGAAAUGGAUGAAUAAAAAUAAUUCUGACUCUGCAGAAGCUGCCGGAAACAAACGUUAAGCCCCAGUGAACGGCUGCCGUCACGUUCUGCAUCCGAACUGACGAGUGCGUCGGUGAGCAGCCUGCUGCCGUUCAGGUAGCAGAGAAGCAGAAGUUUCCCUCCAUCGCAGCGCCGCUGCAGCUGCUCCUCACUGAGCUGUCAGUCUGCUUCAGACAGCGUCUCUGCAUGGGAGCGCAUGUUAACAGGCAUGAAGCUGAAAGUCCUGGGCAUGUAAUACAGUUAGCAGUGUGUGUGUGUGUGUGUGUGUGAGUGUGUGUGUGUGUGUGUGUGUGCUCAUUUCCCCUGCUACCUGAUCACCACUGACAGCUGGUGUGUUUCAUCCUCAGCAGAGCGAAGUGCAGCUGAGCAGAUAUUCAUGGCGCCGUUAAAAAAGCCUUUGAAGGUCUCGCAGUCAAAUAUCAGAGCCAGAAUGCAAAGCCAGCAUUAACAUUUCUUCAUCAUUAGCUGGAAAUAAAAUAUAAAAGCCC